CUGGUGGCAGAGUCGGAGUGCAGCAUUUGCAUGCCGGCCGAGAGAUCCAGCUCCUGGUGGGACGCGUCUGUCCCCCGGGGGAACACAGGGCUGCGGGCAGAGCCAGCUUGCAUGCUAGAGGAGAGACAGAGACAAGCAUCGGGGUUGGAGGAGCCAAGAAAUUAAAGCUCAGAGAGAAGCCAUGGUGUGCCCCCAGCUCCGCAAUUAGUCCAUCACUCAGGCAAGAUGAGAGCUCCUGCCCCUCCUUUUCCUCCAUGGUGGUCCUUCUCACUUGGAGAGCGAUUUUUUGCAACAUGGUCACCAUAGUUCCCCUCUGAAUUGAUGUCCUUGGGUAAUCCUUUCCCACAUGGAUACUUGACUUGGUCAUGUGGCUUUCUUGGAAUGGCGGCAGACAUGGCAUCUGAAAAGCAAUUGCACAUCAGGGCUUGUCCCCUUUGCUGAGCUUGGAGCCCUGAGCCCACCAUUUUAGCACACAUGAACUAGCUCCCUGGAGUGGGCACCUGGAAGAGAACUAAGGGACCCCAGCAAACAGCCUGACGACCAAGUGACUGAGGCCAUUCUCGAACCAUCCAGCUCAUCUAUCUACUGGCUGACUGGCGGCAAGAGAGAGAGAGCGAGCUCAGGAGAGACCAGCAGAGAAGCUAUCUGGUUGAACCCAGCCCAUGGACCCAGCCACAGAACUGUGAGCUAAUAAAUGGUUGUUAUUUUAAGCCACUAAGUUUUUUUUUUUCUUUUUUAAAAUUUUAUUUAUUUAUUUAUUUGUGAAAGAAAGAGAGAGUGAGAGGACAGCAGAAGCAGUGAACGUGGGGGGAAGUCAGG
rnacentral:lncRNA from 1 species